rnacentral:lncRNA from 1 species
GUGGUAUAAUAUUUUAAUAUUUAUUGGAUAUACAUGUAUAUGUAUUUUAGUUAAAUAUUGAAAACUUAGUGUUGUUAAUUUAGAUAUGAAGUACGUCUAGAAGUUAAAUUUGAUGAACUCAUAUGGAGUAUAAGUUUUGACAGUAUAUAAGUUAAUGUGAUGUAAUUUUUAGGGUGCACGUACGAUAGUAGAGGGGCAUUAUGUUUUCUGGUCUGUGGCUUUGUUUGUUCGUCUGUUUGUUCGUUCCUCUUCAGGUUGAAGUUUUUGGUCGAGGUAGUUUUUGAUGAAGUUGAAGUCCAAUCAAUUUGAAACUUAGUACACAUGUUCCCUAUGAUAUGAUCUUUGUAAUUAUAAAUUAAAGUAUAGACCUCAAUUUCAUAGUCUACUGAACAAAG